CCAUUAGAUGAUGAAGAAUUGGUAGCUUUUAUCCUUAAUGGACUUGAUUCAGAUUACAAUGCUGUAACAUCUGCUCUUGUAACUAGGGUAGAACCUAUUUCUCUCCGUGAAUUGUUCUCUCAGCUGCUAAGUUUUGAAA